rnacentral:rRNA from 1 species
GGGUGAAGGAACUAGGCAAAAUGGCACCGUAACUUCGGGAGAAGGUGCGCCGGUGAGGGUGAAGGACUUGCUCCGUAAGCUCAUGCCGGUCGAAGAUACCAGGCCGCUGCGACUGUUUAUUAAAAACACAGCACUCUGCAAACACGAAAGUGGACGUAUAGGGUGUGACGCCUGCCCGGUGCCGGAAGGUUAAUUGAUGGGGUUAGCGCAAGCGAAGCUCUUGAUCGAAGCCCCGGUAAACGGCGGCCGUAACAAUAACGGUCCUAAGGUAGCGAAAUUCCUUGUCGGGUAAGUUCCGACCCGCACGAAUGGCGUAACGAUUUCUCCACUGUCUCCAACAUCACUUCAGCGAAAUUGAAUUCCCCGUGCAGAUGCGGGGUACCCGCGGUUAGACGAAGAGACCCCGUGCACCUUUACUAUAGCUUUACAUUGCUAUUAAAAGUGUGAUGUGCAGGAUAGGUGGGAGACUUUGAAGUUAUGGCGCUAGCUAUAAUGGAGUCAACCUUGAGAUACCACCCUUUACACUUUUGAUAUCUAACUAUGUUUCAUUAUCUGGAACUAGGACAUUGUAUGGUGGGUAGUUUGACUGGGGCGGUCGCCUCCUAAAAAGUAACGGAGGCGUGCGAAGGUAAGCUAGAGCUGGUCGGAAAUCAGCUUGAUAGUAUAAUGGCAUAAGCUUGCCUGACUGCGAGGCUGACAAGCCAAGCAGAGACGAAAGUCGGUCAUAGUGAUCCGGUGAUUCUGUAUGGAAGGGUCAUCGCUCAACGGAUAAAAGGUACGCCGGGGAUAACAGGCUGAUGGUGUUCGAGCGUUCAUAGCGACGACACCGUUUGGCACCUCGAUGUCGACUCAUCACAUCCUGGGGCUGAAGAAGGUCCCAAGGGUUCGGCUGUUCGCCGAUUAAAGUGAUACGUGAGUUGGGUUUAGAACGUCGUGAGACAGUUCGGUUUCUAUCUGCCGUGGGUGAAGGAAAUUUGAGAAGGUCUGACUCUAGUACGAGAGGACCGAGAUGGAUAUACCUCUGGUGUACCAGCUGUUAUGCCAAUAGCAUCGCUGGGUGGCUAUGUAUAGAUGGGAUAAUUGCUGAAAGCAUAUAAGCAAGAAACCCUCUUCAAAAAGAUUUCCCAAUUAAGGCCGUGGAAGACUACCACGUUGAUAGGCUAGGUGUGGAAGCAUGGUAACAUGUGAAGCUAACUAGUACUAAUAGCCUGAUUGAUUUAUUUGC